AUGGCGGCGGCGUGCAGCUUGUCGGGAUACGACUACAACACCAAUGUGUGGCAGUUCGAAGGCUAUGGGUAUGUCCCCUCGGGCACGACCUGGGUGUCCAUCAUGCAGUUGUUCGGCGUCGGCGAGACGGCUACCACACUCAUCCUGCACGUCUACGAUGGCGCGGUGCGGUACUACGACCGUCAUAUUGUUGAGGAUGCCAUCUAUGACAGGUGGUUCUGGCUAAACGUGGUCCAUGAUGUGGAGGCGUCGACACUCACCGUGUACAUUGACGGCCAGGGCGGCGACUCACACUACUUCAAGUUCAACGUGUACACACAGAACCUCGACUCCACCUACAUGGAGUCCCGCUGGAAGGGUGUCAGGAUUCUGAAGAAAGAAUUAUCACAUUGA
rnacentral:rRNA from 1 species